CAUAAACGAUGCCAACCAGCGAUCCGUCGGCGUUACUUCGAUGACCCGAUGGGCAGCUCCCGGGAAACCUGAGUUUUCGGGU
rnacentral:ncRNA from 1 species